rnacentral:rRNA from 1 species
UAAUCAUUAGUCUUUUAAUUGAAGGCUGGAAUGAAUGGUUGGACAAAAAAUAAGCUGUCUCAGUUAUAAUUAUUGAAUUUAACUUUUAAGAGAAAAGGCUUAAAUAGUCUAAGGGGACGAUAAGACCCUAUAAAGCUUUACGAUUUGUUUAUUAAAUCAAAAAUUGUAAGUAUAAAUUUUAUUUAAUAGCACAUUUGUUUCGUUGGGGCGACGAGAAUAAAAUUUAGUAACUGUUCUUUUAGAGUAUAACAAUUAUAAUUGAAGGAAAAUUGAUCCCUUAUUAAGGAUUAAAAAUUUAAGUUACUUUAGGGAUAACAGCGUAAUCUUUUUUGAGAGUCCAUAUCGACAAAAAGGGUU